CCCGUGCCCCCAAGUUUCCGGCACGCGAAUACUGGACUAGAAAUUGUAAAGGUUGAAAUCUGCUAGGGUUUUCCUUAUCGUGGAAAUUAAUAGAUAAAAAUUUGGGAGUGCACAUUUUAUUCUCUUGGUCCGCUUUAAGUUGAGUUCUUUGCAUUAAAAACAUGAAGAAAUUUUCAGGGCGAUGGCAUUGAUGAAUCUGAAGACGUAGAAGAUGAAGAACCAAUUUUUGUUAUGACAGAUGAAUGGAGCGAGUUCUUUGCAAAAUCUGAAGCCAGGAGGAGAGAAGCUAAGAAAUUAGCCAAGAAACAGGGGAAGACCUGAAAAGAUCUUGGGAGGCAACCGCAGUUUUAGCCUAUAUCCUUUCUUUCCAAACCGAGCUCCAAGUUGCAAGACAAUAUCAUAUUGAUGGGCAACUGUAUUUGAACUGGUAGUUUAUCUUCUGUGAUUGAGGAAGAAUAAGAUGAUUUCAAUCUUUCAACAUUGCAACAAUUCUUCUUGUAAAUCUUGACUGGUAUGUGAUUGUGGAUUAUAGGCUAGAAUGGAUGUUCAAAUGAGCGUCAAGUUUUAGUGGAUCAAUCUUGCAAGUUGCACAUUAUUGUAAUAAACGUGAAAUUUUGCAAGAUUCCAUGAAGCAAUGGCAAUAGAAAUCUUAGAUUUGACUCUU